GAUGAACGCUGGCGGCGUGCUUAACACAUGCAAGUCGAACGAGGUCCAUCCAAACUUGUUUGGGGAAGAUCUAGUGGCGAACGGGUGCAUAACACGUGAGAAACCUGCCUCAGUCUCUGGGAUAACAGUUGGAAACGACUGCUAAUACCGGAUGCCGUCACACCAUCACAUGUUGGAGUGACGAAAGAUUUAUCGGAUUGAGAGGGUCUCGCGGCCUAUCAGCUAGUUGGAGAGGUAACGGCUCACCAAGGCAUCGACGGGUAGCUGGUCUGAGAGGAUGAUCAGCCACACUGGGACUGAGACACGGCCCAGACUCCUACGGGAGGCAGCAGUGGGGAAUCUUGCACAAUGGGCGAAAGCCUGAUGCAGCAACGCCGCGUGCGGGAAGAAGGCCCUAGGGUUGUAAACCGCUUUCAGUAGGGAAGAAAAUGACGGUACCUACAGAAGAAGGUGCGGCCAACUACGUGC
rnacentral:rRNA from 1 species